ACUAUCUUAUUCUCUCGGGGGGUUUUGUGGUUAUUUUGCUUUAGCAAAACGUGUAAAAUAUUUUUUUCCAUCUCACAAAAUGUGGUGUCCCCAGAUCUCUAGGUUACAUGGACUUCUUGCUGUAAUGAUCUCAUACAGUACGUGUUGUGGUGCAAUGCGGGGAGCGUCUGGUGUGGGAGGGUGGAGCCCCAGAUUAAGGGAGAAGCGUUGCCGCGGAAACCACACCUGACGUGAAUAUGUGAAUAAAAGGCAGGUGUAGAAGUGGUUUAAAACUAGCCUGAAUAGGUUCUGGAAAAAGGGGGAAAGAUUUUGUAGGACUGUAGUGUUGCUGUGGCUGUAGUGGAGAGAGGACGAAUGCAGAGGCUUCGCGGUGAGAGAGUCGGGCUGAAGCAUGACAGUAGCGGCUGUGAGAUCUGAGACGCUACUACUUGGGGCGCUGUUAGAAGAGCGUGUCGCCGCGUAUGAGUGAACAAAGACUUGAUUACCAGCUGUAGUAACCCCGUGAGGGGGUGAAGAAGAACGACGAUUACGGAGAGGAUUGAGAGGGGAAUAGCCUGCGAGCUGGACACUUCAUCUUCAAGGUGCAGUGAUGAUCUCUCUUCCAUAUUGUUGCAGGAUCCAGAAAACAUUUGAGCAAUCAGGCUUGUGAUGACACCAAACCAGAGCAAACUGGCUGGUGACGUAUUGAAUGUCUUCUAGGAAGUGAGUCAUCAGCAAACAGCAGAUCCCUGACCAGGAGUCCGAACAUCAUGGCAAGAGCUUUCAAGUGCCUCAGGCUGAAAAGCCUCCAUCUGUGCAAAACAUAACAAUACACUGCAAUAACAGCAUCAGUAAAUUUCCUGUAAACUGCC